UACAGAGGUCUCAAGCGUUGUUCGGAUUCAUUGGGCGUAAAGGGUGCGUAGGCGGCGCGGUAAGUCGGGUGUGAAAUCUCGGGGCUUAACUCCGAAACUGCAUUCGAUACUGCCGUGCUUGAGGACUGGAGAGGAGACUGGAAUUUACGGUGCAGCGGUGAAAUGCGUAGAUAUCGUAAGGAAGACCAGUGGCGAAGGCGGGUCUCUGGACAGUUCCUGACGCUGAGGUGCGAAAGCGUGGGGAGCAAACAGG
rnacentral:rRNA from 1 species